GCCCCGGCGGCUGGUGAGCAGGUUGUGAGCUCAUAGAGGGCAGGCGCCCUCAUUUCUGAGGCUGUUGGCCUACCUUGGGGAUGUGAUGGGAACACGCUUUCUCCAUUAAGGAAGCCUCCUUUCAGGGGGUUACUACCUCAGCUCAGGAACGUGGAGGAUGCAGAUACACCCACCAGGGGGUCGAGGAACAGACCCUGCUUUCCUGUGACUUAAGAGAGCAAAGGGACUCCAAACCUCUAAUGUGAAAGCCUUAAGAAGUGGGUCCUGCCCUGGCCGGGUGGCUCGGUUGAUUGGAACAUCAUCCUGUACACCAAAAGGUUGUGGGUUCAAUUCCCAGUCAUGGCAGGUUUGAUCCCUGAUAGGGGUGCGAACAGAAGGAAUAGCAUUCCACGAGGACAUCUGUACAGAACGAUCAGAACCAUCCCUGGCUGUACAACACUUUAAGGCCUUGAUGCAUGUCUCAGUGGAAGCCAAUCAAGGCGCUAUGCAAAUUAACCAAGAUGGCGGCCCCCACACGCUGCCCAGUCCCCCAUUGCUGAGCGGCUGAUGGACCUGAUGGACCCGGGCCGACAGGAGGCGCCCAGAUCGCUGCUGGCCGCCCGGGGCCAGGCCCCAACCCUGAAAGAAGGCGGAAGAUGGUGGCCAGAGCCAAGGCCUGGGUCCCCCUGGUGCUGGCGGAAAACUGGUUCAGGCAGCCAGGAUUCCUGCAAAGAAACUGUGGACCGAAGGAGAUACUAUCCUAAUAAAUCAAGCACAAGCAAAGAGCAAGAAAAUUGCAGAGACAACUGCCUUAUUUGUGGAACAGACUCUAUAUCAGAUUUAUUCCAAGGUGAAAACAAAAGCAGUCAUCCAAUCAGACAUCAAAGGAACACAGCCCCAAAUUCCAAAUGAUCAAGAAGUCUAUUGGAAAAUGUAUUCAACAACCUAUGAACAUUCACAAAAAUCCUCACCCCAUAGGCUUCUUUCUGCCUUGAGGUAUCAGUAAUGAUGGAAGCUGUCACAAUUAGUAAGAGAUUAAAAAAAAACAUUGUUUAA